UUUUAAUAAACUCUUCAAAUUUUUAAUAACACAAUUUCCAAUACCACUUCGUUGUUUCUCGAUGAAAUGGCAUCACAAUAUUCUCGUUUCUAAACUCGACUAAAGCUCUUCCGAAUUACUAUUAUUCGUUUCAUUUAUACUAAACAUCGUUCGCCGACUGAGUCGAGUUUUUUAUACGAUCCGAGUUCCUCGAGUGCACACACGUUGAACGUGAGCCAGGAAACGGAGUAAACCAGGCGUUCUCUAGACGAUAAUCGACUGACUGACUGACUGACUGUUUUUUUACAAGCUUGUCGAUCUUUCUUGAUCGAACGAUAUCCCUUGAAGAAGAGGAUGAUGCACUGUUCUCCGACGUGCAGACCACUCCUGGGAGAUCUCUUUACUUUCGUCCACACCAACCAAGAGAGAACUACCCAGCUUGUACCCUCUCCUUUCACGUAUCUUGUUUUUAUUAAACUAAUUUUAUCCCGAAGAGAAAUUCAUACACGUUAAAUUUUAAUAAUUAUAUUAUUUCGCAAUUAUGAAAAUCAAUAAAAAUUAAAAAAUACAUUGAAAAAUUCUUCCAACAAGUUUUCUAUUUCAUAAAUUGAUUUUGUCGAACGAAAAAUAUAAAUGUUUAUUUUAUCUCGUCCGAUUAUCUUGCUUUUAAAAAAGCAUCAUAAAUUACGUAUGUAUGUGUACGUCUAUUUGUGUUAAAUAUGUACUCGAUGGAUAGAAAAACACAAUAAAAGCACAAAGAAAUAAUGUAAUCCUUUCCGAAAGGAGAAUUCGUGGUCGGUGCAGUCAAUACGAUUUGAUUCACUCGCGGUAGAAGUCGCGGAUGCUGUAAGCUCGCGCCCGAGGAAAGAGGCCCUAUAUAUGGGCCUCGGCACGAACACAUCGAUAAGUAUAUUGAGUGUGGGGGGGGGGGGGAAAGAGGAGUUAGUAGCCGGUCUGUACGUCUGCGUUUUUACGAAUAAAUGUGUGCGUGCGUGUCUUUUGUCGAUGACGUUAAAAAACGACUUUCGAAAUAACGAGAAUGUGAAAAUCAACGUGAGAUUACAUCAGCAUUAGAAAGAUUAGAAAAACAUAGGAUAUCUCGAAGCUAUGCAGCGAAGAUUCAGAAGAGAAAGAUGCACUCAGAAAGUUGUCGACAUGUACAGAAGAAAAGGGGAACGGUCGUCUCGUUCGUUCGUUCGUUCGUUCGUUCGUUCGUUCGUUCGUUCGUUCGGCAACAGUCCAUCAGUUUUAAUCAAAGGCGUAAUACAGGACAAGAUUCUUUAGGAGGCCAGAAACCCAGCAUGCUCUUUCCAAGUGUGCCUCCAUUAACGAACCUCGAACAUUGCGUGUGCACAAUAUAUAUAUAACAUACGAGUGUAUAUGGAGUGUGCUUAUCUACAUGUAUAAUACAUACACGAACAAAUCCGAUUUUCAUAUGAAUAUAUAUGUGCAUAUAUAUAUAUGUGUCAAAUGCAUCUUUAACAUAUAUCUACAAAUAGAAAUAUUCGUGCAUUUCUAGUGCGUAAAACUCCUAUUAUGAAAAUUCUUUAUUUCCGUAAUUUAUAUAAAACGCUCGCACGAAACUCAUCGUAACACAUCCGUGAAAGCACGUUGUAUUAUUAAUGUUCGAAAAUUUGAACAAUUAGUUAAGGAGUUCGAAUAAUUAAGUUCGAAAUGGUUUUAAAGUAUACUCGAAUGGUACAUAGGGUGGGUCAAAAGUUUUUAGGCAGAAUCAAAAGUUCCUAUGGAGCAUUGGUAGUUUUACAAUUUGAAAAGAAAAAGAAAAAAAAGACAAAGAAAGAGAGAAAAAAAUGUUCGCAUUGAAAAGGUUUCAAAAAAAUGAAUAAUUGAUUUUUAUUUAUCGCUUAUAUUAGAAGAGAAAGAGAAUUGAAUCAUUCAAUCGCUUUACCUUGAAUAGUCUUUUGUUUCGUUCAUAGGAAAAUAGGAUUGCUUCGAUGAAUCGAACGAAUACGAGAAUACGUUUCAUUCAUGGAAGAUGUUAUAAUCGUUUAGUGUUCAACGACGCGAUGUCAUUACGUAUACUAAAUGGAUUAUUCGUCGCUCGCUCUCUCUCUCUCUCUCUCU